GUCGCUCAACGGAUAAAAGGUACCCCGGGGAUAACAGGCUGAUCUUCCCCAAGAGUCCAUAUCGACGGGAUGGUUUGGCACCUCGAUGUCGGCUCGUCGCAUCCUGGGGCUGGAGUCGGUCCCAAGGGUUGGGCUGUUCGCCCAUUAAAGCGGUACGCGAGCUGGGUUUAGAACGUCGUGAGACAGUUCGGUCCCUAUCCGCUGUGCGCGUAGGAGUCUUGAGAAGGGCUGUCCCUAGUACGAGAGGACCGGGACGGACGAACCUCUGGUGUGCCAGUUGUUCUGCCAAGGGCAUGGCUGGUUGGCUACGUUCGGGAGGGAUAACCGCUGAAAGCAUCUAAGCGGGAAGCCUGCUUCGAGAUGAGGACUCCCACCCCCUUGAGGGGUUAAGGCUCCCAGUAGACGACUGGGUUGAUAGGCCGGAUCUGGAAGCACCGUGAGGUGUGGAGGUGACCGGUACUAAUAGGCCGAGGGCUUGUCCUCAGUUG
rnacentral:rRNA from 1 species